rnacentral:rRNA from 1 species
UACGGAGGGGGCUAGCGUUGUUCGGAAUUACUGGGCGUAAAGCGCACGUAGGCGGCUUUGUAAGUUAGAGGUGAAAGCCCAGGGCUCAACCCUGGAAUUGCCUUUAAGACUGCAUCGCUUGAAUCAUGGAGAGGUGAGUGGAAUUCCGAGUGUAGAGGUGAAAUUCGUAGAUAUACGGAAGAACACCAGUGGCGAAGGCGACUCACUGGCCCGGUACUGACGCUGAGGUGCGAAAGCGUGGGGAGCAAACAGG